GACAGAGGGUGCAAGCGUUGUUCGGAAUUACUGGGCGUAAAGGGCGUGUAGGCGGUGGAGUGUGUCUGGUGUGAAAGCCCUCGGCUUAACCGAGGAACUGCAUUAGAAACUACUCCGCUUGAGUACGAGAGAGGAAGGCGGAAUUCCUGGUGUAGAGGUGAAAUUCGUAGAUACCAGGAGGAACACCGGAGGCGAAGGCGGCCUUCUGGCUCGUAACUGACGCUGAGACGCGAAAGCGUGGGUAGCAAACAGG
rnacentral:rRNA from 1 species